rnacentral:miRNA from 1 species
CAAGAAUAAACAUUCCUUGAC